rnacentral:tRNA from 1 species
GCCUGGGUGGCUCAGUCAGCUAAGCAUCUGACUUCUAUUCAGAUCAUGAUCUCUCAGUUCAUGGGUUUGAGCCCCACCAUGGGCU